UACGUAGGGUGCAAGCGUUGUCCGGAAUUAUUGGGCGUAAAGAGCGCGUAGGCGGUCUGUCGCGUCGGAUGUGAAAAUCCAGGGCUCAACCCUGGACCUGCAUUCGAUACGGGCAGACUAGAGUUCGGCAGGGGAGACUGGAAUUCCUGGUGUAGCGGUGAAAUGCGCAGAUAUCAGGAGGAACACCAAUGGCGAAGGCACCAUCCUGGGAAGUAUCUGACGCUCAGGUGCGAAAGCUAGGGGAGCGAACGGG
rnacentral:rRNA from 1 species